rnacentral:rRNA from 1 species
UACGAAGGGGGGCUAGCGUUGCUCGGAAUCACUGGGCGUAAAGGGUGCGUAGGCGGGUCUUUAAGUCAGAGGUGAAAUCCUGGAGCUCAACUCCAGAACUGCCUUUGAUACUGAGGAUCUUGAGUUCGGGAGAGGUGAGUGGAACUGCGAGUGUAGAGGUGAAAUUCGUAGAUAUUCGCAAGAACACCAGUGGCGAAGGCGGCUCACUGGCCCGAUACUGACGCUGAGGCACGAAAGCGUGGGGAGCAAACAGG